rnacentral:rRNA from 1 species
UGGGUAGUUUAACUGGGGCGGUUGCCUCCCAAAGGGUAACGGAGGCGCCCAAAGGUUCCCUCAGCCUGGUUGGUAAUCAGGUGUUGAGUGUAAGUGCACAAGGGAGCUUGACUGUGAGACCGACGGGUCGAGCAGGGACGAAAGUCGGGACUAGUGAUCCGGCGGUGGCUUGUGGAAGCGCCGUCGCUCAACGGAUAAAAGGUACCCCGGGGAUAACAGGCUGAUCUUCCCCAAGAGUCCAUAUCGACGGGAUGGUUUGGCACCUCGAUGUCGGCUCGUCGCAUCCUGGGGCUGGAGUCGGUCCCAAGGGUUGGGCUGUUCGCCCAUUAAAGCGGUACGCGAGCUGGGUUUAGAACGUCGUGAGACAGUUCGGUCCCUAUCCUCUGUGCGCGUAGGAAUAUUGAGAAGGGCUGUCCCUAGUACGAGAGGACCGGGACGGACGAACCUCUGGUGUGCCAGUUGUCCUGCCAAGGGCAUGGCUGGUUGGCUACGUUCGGAAAGGAUAACCGCUGAAAGCAUCUAAGCGGGAAGCCUGCUUCGAGAUGAGUAUUCCCACCCCCUUUGAGGGGUUAAGGCUCCCAGUAGACGACUGGGUUGAUAGGCCAGAUCUGGAAGCCCGGUAACGGGUGGAGGUGACUGGUACUAAUAGGCCGAGGGCUUGUCCUCAGUUG